ACACCGUUGGUGAAGUGGUUAUCAUGCUUGCCUUCCAUCCAAGAUUAUUUGUUGGAGUACUUAGAAGCAAGCGGCUCGGGUUCGAUUCCCGAACGGUGUA